rnacentral:tRNA from 2 species
AGGGCUAUAGCUCAGCGAUAGAGUGCCUCGUUUAAUGACCGGGAGUGUCUACGGUUCGAAUCCGUAUAGUCCUA